UGGUGGCAUGGCCACAGUGUGGCCAGUCCAGGGCCUGGCCGCUCGAAUCCGCCUCCGGCACCCAGCCCGCCUGGAGGGGGUCCUGAGACUGCUGCCUGGACACAGCAGCCUGGCCAGGCCUCCAGCAGGGGGUGAGCUCGUGACAUCACCCGCUGAGGCCAUCCAUCUGGCACUUUCUCAAGAAUGCUGGGACCGUCUCCAAGGUGCAGGGUAAAGACAAGGUUUUAGCUCAGGAAAAAGAAACCUGGCUUAAACAGCACAGGCCAGCAUUUCCUGAUGUAACAGGGAGUCCACGGACCGAAGAUGCCUGUGCUCAAAGCAAUGACAACAAUGUCACGUGGCUAUCAAAUGGCAAGAACCUGCUGCUGGUGGUCCAAUAAAAACACACUGGUAUGA